UGGGGAAUAUUGCACAAUGGGCGCAAGCCUGAUGCAGCGACGCCGCGUGAGGGAUGACGGCCUUCGGGUUGUAAACCUCUUUCAAUAGGGACGAAGCGCAAGUGACGGUACCUAUAGAAGAAGGACCGGCCAACUACGUGCCAGCAGCCGCGGUAAUACGUAGGGUCCGAGCGUUGUCCGGAAUUACUGGGCGUAAAGAGCUCGUAGGUGGUUUGUCGCGUUGUUCGUGAAAACUCACAGCUUAACUGUGGGCGUGCGGGCGAUAAGGGCAGGCUAGAGUACUGCCGGGGAGACUGGAAUUGCUGGUGUAGCGGUGGAAUGCGCAGAUAUCAGGAGGGACACCGGUGGCGAAGGCGGGUCUCUGGGCAGUAACUGACGCUGAGGAGCGAAAGCGUGGGGAGCGAACA
rnacentral:rRNA from 1 species